rnacentral:rRNA from 1 species
UACGAAGGGUGCAAGCGUUACUCGGAAUUACUGGGCGUAAAGCGUGCGUAGGUGGUUGUUUAAGUCUGUCGUGAAAGCCCUGGGCUCAACCUGGGAAUUGCGAUGGAUACUGGGCGACUAGAGUGUUGUAGAGGGUGGCGGAAUUCCCGGUGUAGCAGUGAAAUGCGUAGAGAUCGGGAGGAACAUCCGUGGCGAAGGCGGCCACCUGGGCCAACACUGACACUGAGGCACGAAAGCGUGGGGAGCAAACAGG